rnacentral:tRNA from 1 species
UGAUGUAGCUCAGCCGGCAGAGCAGCUGAUUUGUAAUCAGCAGGUCGGGGGUUCGAUUCCCUCCAUCA